AUGAAUGAUUUAGUUUUUGUCAUGUACAAUUCCAAACUGAUGAGCAGACAACGCAGAAGGCAAAGACAGGUUGUGGAAUAUGAUAUUGAUGAUGUCUCUUCUGAUGAUGAAUGGAUAACUGAAAAAGAAGAGCCUGUCCUUCCUCCACAAAAGGAAUGGAUCCGUUCUCUUGAGAGGAUUGCUCAUAACGAAGCUGCUAUGGACAAAGAAAAUGAAAGUAACAUUGAAAAUGAUGUAGAAAAUAUUGUCAACAGCCUGGCUGAAACACAUAUGAAAAGUUCUUUUGAUGAAGUGAUGGUGAUCUCGGGAUGGAUCAAGAUCUUGAUGCACCUACUUAUGAAGAUGCUGAUGGUGAAAACAACAAUACCAGCGAGCAAAAUGUUCUUGAUGGCAACAAUUCAGGACCUUCCUCGUACUGUGUUGGGAGUUCUAGUGGUACAAUACCACCUAUGA
rnacentral:rRNA from 1 species